AUGGCUUGAUUUAUUAAUAAAAAAUUUUCAAGAAUAACUUAAAUUUGACUAUGUUUGCAUAAUUUUUUUAAAUAAGAUGGUGGUUAAACUUAAGGUCAAAAAAGUCAUGCGUGUCCUAUAAUUUGGGAUGAAGGGAGUAUUAUAUAGCUAAAAAAACAGAAAAAAAGGAAAUAAUUGUAUAUCCUUAUUCAUCAAAUGAAGAUCAAAAUCAACAAAAAAGGUAACGUACUUCUUCUGAAACACAAGCAACAAAUUAGGGCG
rnacentral:lncRNA from 1 species